rnacentral:rRNA from 1 species
CCUACGGGGCGCUGCAGUGAGGAAUAUUGGUCAAUGGCCGGAAGGCUGAACCAGCCAAGCCGCGUGAGGGAGGAAGGCGCAGAGCGUCGCAGACCUCUUUUGCCGGGGGACAAAAGGCCGGACUCGUCCGGUCCUGAGGGUACCCGGAGAAACAGCAUCGGCUAACUCCGUGCCAGCAGCCGCGGUAAUACGGGGGAUGCGAGCGUUAUCCGGAUUCAUUGGGUUUAAAGGGUGCGCAGGCGGGCCGUUAUGCCGGCGGUGAAAUCGCGGGGCUCAACCACGCCGAGCCGUCGGCACUGGGGGCCUUGAGGGCGGCGGAGGCAUGCGGAAUGCGCGGUGUAGCGGUGAAAUGCAUAGAUAUCGCGCAGAACCCCGAUUGCGAAGGCAGCGUACCGGCUCCACACUGACGCUGAGGCACGAAAGCGUGGGUAUCGAACAGGAUUAGAUACCCCGGUAGUC